rnacentral:ncRNA from 16 species
CAUCGCGAUGCUCUUCAGAGAUGGAGAAAUCGUGAUGAGGAUACUUUCAAAGCCCCAACUGAAGGAGUUGGUUUUGUACUCGCCGCAACAUGUCGCACGUCUGGAAAAGGCAGGCCUAUUCCCCAAGCGGGUACAGCUGGGCCCGAACAGAGUGGGAUGGGUCGAAGAUGAAGUGCUGGACUGGCUACAAACACGGAUGGAGGGUCGCGAGGAGGCCUGACCGACACUCCUCAUGUAGGAGUAUGGGUGGCCGGAGGUGCACACUUC